CCUCCCUCAGCUCCACCCCUUUUGCCUGGGCCGCAUAAGCCUCCAUCGUUCCCCGCCCUCCGCCGCCUCCAGUCAGCAGUCUCCCUCCUCCGACCAAGGCGCUCUCGCCGGCAGCUAUCACCAGGCGAAGGGGCUCUCUUCUCCUCAUUCCAUCUACCAACUGGCGCGGCGCGAGGAACUAACCGUCAAGGCGUAUUUUCUAUUGGUGGUAAAUAAGGAAGCCCUAGCUUUCCCAGGUUGCAGUAUUGGGUGACAGCUUCCUGUAUCAUCCGGUUGCUUCCCCGCGUGACAGCUACACUCCAUUCUGCUCCGCUAUCGGUCAGCUCCAUUGAGAAUCUAGAUGUGCUUGUCUUCGCGAAUGUUCGAUGGGAAGACACGCUCCUUCUCCAUUACUAGAAAGGCUUUCCCUGAAAGUAAAUACGUCCUCCCUGUCCCAAUCUCCCGCCUAGCCCACCGUCAUCUCCCCCUUCUCCUAUCCUAUGCAACCGUCUCGGGUCUUUUGCUCAAGGUACCCUUGCUCCACUCUGUCCUUCGCUCACUCUCCACAGGUCCUGUCCCAUCUCUCUCCCUCUCAUUCCUCUCCCUACUCCACCGGUCUGGCUACAUGCCCAUCGAUAACUACUCCCUUAGCGCUGCUCUUUCUACCGCCGCCCGCAUGCCCUCCGUUGUUGUUGGUGCCCAGCUCCAUACCCUUUCUGUGAAACUCGGCUUAAGUUCUGAUACCUUUGUCCUUAAUACUCUUAUCAAUAUGUACUCGUCUUGUAGUUAUCCAUCUACUGCAAGAUCAGUUCUUGAUUCUGCUCCCAAAGGAGCCUCUGAUACAGUUUCUUGGAAUACAAUCAUUGCUGGAUACGUACAUGCUGGGCUGCCUAAUAAGGCUUUGCAGGCUUUUAGCCAAAUGGCCAAGGCGCAAGUUAUGCUGGAUGAGGUCACCUUGCUGAAUGCUCUAGUUGCUUGUGCAAGGACAUGCAUGAUGAAGGUCGGAAAGCUCUGUCAUGCACUACUUGUGACAAAUGGUUUUGAGAUUAACUGUUAUAUGGGUUCCUCUUUGAUUAGUAUGUAUGCAAAGUGUGGGCUUGUUGAAGAUGCUCGCAGGGUUUUUGAUGGAUUGCCUGAGAGGAAUGCGGUUUGCUGGACCUCAAUGAUUUCUGGAUAUACACAGUUAGGUCAGUCUAAAGAGGCUGUUAAGCUAUUCAGAGAGAUGCAAAUUGCUGGAGUGAAAGUUGAUGAUGCAACAAUUGCUACUGUUGUAUCUUCAUGCGGCCAGAUGGGAGCACUGGACUUGGGACGGUAUGUCCAUGCUUACUGUGACAUUCAUGGUUUAGGGAAGGAUAUUUCUGUGAAAAAUUCAUUGAUUGACAUGUACUCAAAGUGUGGGGAUAUAAAUAAGGCCUAUGAUAUAUUUUGUGGAAUGGUCAAGCGGGAUGAUUUUUCCUGGACAGUGAUGAUAAUGGGCUUUGCUGCAAAUGGCCUCUCUGGUGAGGCAUUAGAUUUGUUUGCGCAGAUGGAAGAAGAGGGUGAAGUCAUGCCGAAUGAGAUAACUUUCUUGGGUGUCCUAACUUCUUGCAGCCAUGGAGGAUUAGUUGAACAAGGAUACCAUCACUUCCAUCGCAUGUCCAGUAUUUACGGUAUUGCCCCAAGGAUCGAACACUAUGGAUGCAUGGUUGAUCUCCUGGGCCGUGCUAAGUUAUUGGCAGAGGCAGAACAGUUCAUUAAAGAGAUGCCUAUCGCUCCUGAUGUUGUAAUGUGGCGGUCGUUGUUGUUUGCCUGCAGAGCCUGUGGAGAGGUGGGACUUGCAGAGUAUGUAGCAGAAAGGAUCCAAGUAUUGGAGCCAAACAGGUGUGGAGGGGACGUUUUACUUUCUACUGUCUAUGCAACCACAUCAAGGUGGGUUGAUGCAAACAAAGUGAGGACAGGAAUAUACAGUAGCAGAAAGACCAAGCAGCCUGGUUGCUCUUUCAUUGAAGUGGAUGGAUGCGUGCAUGAGUUCUUUGCAGGGGACGAGUCACAUUUUGAAACUGAAGCUAUAUACAACACUCUUUUGGGAAUUAAUGAACUGUUAGUAGCAGAGUCCUUCCUGAUGUGAAAGCUAAUACUCCCUCCGUUCGGAAUUACUUGUCUCGGAUAUGGAUGUAUCUAGAACUAAAAUAUGUCUAGAUACAUCCAUUUCUGCGACAAGUAAUUCCGAAUGGAGGGAGUACAUUUCUAUGGUAACCAUACCUCAGUACCUAUGAUUCUAUAAUCUUCAUUUUGUGAAAUGAUGAAACCCGAAGUAUAUCUACGUAUUUGCAUUUCUCUAUGAGGCGGGAAGUUUAUUUUCCAGACAUUUAUGUCAUGAGCCACUUAAUGUGCAACUGAGUGCACACUGUUAUCCUGAUUUUAUUGGUCUAUCUGAGAUGUUUCCUUCUGGUAUUGCAAUCUGUGCUAGGUAAUACCCACAGUUGUUGCUAUGAUGUUACUAUGUCAGAAAAUUAGCUGUCCAGUGCAUCACUUAUUUGUUCUUCUCUCAUGUUCUUGUCUGACAGUUAUAUUUUUACCCCGAACUUACUAACCCAGCUUUGGUUUCUCUGGCUUAAACUAAUCUGGCAGCAGGGUAUCAUGUGCCCGCUCACCUGUAUCACUGUGUUGGUCAUGGGAAUGUAAAACCAGCAGCCUGAAAGUUCCAAACUCCAGAAUUUAGUUAUUUACUUGAACUGGGCCAUGGAUCGGAAGAAUCAAACUCCACAGGGUAAAGUGCUGAUGAUGAGUCCGUGCUUUUUGCCCCAGAAGCUGACUUUUAUGUUUGAAUAGUUGCACAUUGUCAUUUCACUAAAACUCGGGUUGGCUUUAAAAGGUCAAAUUGCACAAGUGAUUGUUGAAUUUCUCGAGGUAGCUGUCAGCUCCAUUGUCUUCCUCAAAGGUUUCUAUCCCACUCGUGCAUUUGAGAGGAGAAGGUACAUGAAUCUAGUUGUCCAGAAAGCUGUGCACCCCCAGCUUGCUGACUACAUCCACUCUGUGACUACUGGCCUUCUACCUUUCAUACAAAAGGGACUGGUUGAGAGGGUCGUAGUAAUCUUCCACGACAAAGAUCAUGUACCACUCGAGAAGUUUGUGUUCAAGCUUGCAGUCAACCAAUCCUAUGGCUCC